rnacentral:tRNA from 1 species
GAGGGUAUAGCUCAGUUUGGUUAGAGCGCUUGCUUGACAUGCAAGAGGUCACAGGUUCAAAUCCCGUUAUCCUCA